AACGAACGCUGGCGGCAUGCCUAACACAUGCAAGUCGAACGAGACCUUCGGGUCUAGUGGCGCACGGGUGCGUAACGCGUGGGAACCUGCCCUUAGGUUCGGAAUAACUCCACGAAAGGGGUGCUAAUACCGGAUAAUGUCUUCGGACCAAAGAUUUAUCGACUUUGGAUGGGCCCGCGUUGGAUUAGCUAGUUGGUAGGGUAAAAGCCUACCAAGGCGACGAUCCAUAGCUGGUCUGAGAGGAUGAUCAGCCACACUGGGACUGAGACACGGCCCAGACUCCUACGGGAGGCAGCAGUGGGGAAUAUUGGACAAUGGGCGAAAGCCUGAUCCAGCAAUGCCGCGUGAGUGAUGAAGGCCGUAGGGUUGUAAAGCUCUUUUACCCGGGAUGAUAAUGACAGUACCGGGAGAAUAAGCUCCGGCUAACUCCGUG
rnacentral:rRNA from 1 species